rnacentral:tRNA from 3 species
GGAGGGAUACCCAAGCGGCCAACGGGGGCAGACUGUAAAUCUGCUGUCUUACGACUUCGGUGGUUCGAAUCCACCUCCCUCCACCA